rnacentral:tRNA from 1 species
UAGCCUUGUGGUUAAGGCUAUGGAUCGCCAAUCCGGAGACGGCGGGUUCGAUUCCCGC